AUGGAGCAACAGGAGAAAAAGGGUUACGUGGGGAGUAUGGACAACCAGGAAUUCCAGGGAAGGAUGGUGAACCUGGUACUCCAGGUCAUCCAGGACCAAAAGGUGAUCAAGGGCCCCCGGGGUACCCAGGAGAUCCAGGAAUUCCAGGACAAAAAGGAUCAGUUGGUGAAAUGGGUUUGCCAGGAACACCUGGAGAAAAAGGUCUGCCGGGAAUUCCAGGUUCACCAGGCACACCAGGGUUCCCUGGCCAAAAAGGUGAAAAAGGAGACAAAGGAGCAGCAGGUUUUCCUGGAAUUGGCUUUCCAGGAUCUCCUGGUGAGAAGGGAGAACCGGGAAGAACAGGUAGUCCAGGCUUAUCUGGAGAGAAGGGUGAAAAAGGUAGUGCAGGACUUCCAGGAAUGCCAGGUUCCCCAGGUCCCAAAGGAUCCCCUGGCAUGGCAGGAUUUCCAGGCAAGUGUUUAUGCUUCAGUAAAAAAAUAA
rnacentral:lncRNA from 1 species